rnacentral:rRNA from 1 species
GGUUAAGCGACUAAGCGUACACGGUGGAUGCCCUGGCAGUCAGAGGCGAUGAAGGACGUGCUAAUCUGCGAUAAGCGUCGGUAAGGUGAUAUGAACCGUUAUAACCGGCGAUUUCCGAAUGGGGAAACCCAGUGUGUUUCGACACACUAUCAUUAACUGAAUCCAUAGGUUAAUGAGGCGAACCGGGGGAACUGAAACAUCUAAGUACCCCGAGGAAAAGAAAUCAACCGAGAUUCCCCCAGUAGCGGCGAGCGAACGGGGAGCAGCCCAGAGCCUGAAUCAGUGUGUGUGUUAGUGGAAGCGUCUGGAAAGGCGCGCGAUACAGGGUGACAGCCCCGUACACAAAAAUGCACAUGCUGUGAGCUCGAUGAGUAGGGCGGGACACGUGGUAUCCUGUCUGAAUAUGGGGGGACCAUCCUCCAAGGCUAAAUACUCCUGACUGACCGAUAGUGAACCAGUACCGUGAGGGAAAGGCGAAAAGAACCCCGGCGAGGGGAGUGAAAAAGAACCUGAAACCGUGUACGUACAAGCAGUGGGAGCACGCUUAGGCGUGUGACUGCGUACCUUUUGUAUAAUGGGUCAGCGACUUAUAUUCUGUAGCAAGGUUAACCGAAUAGGGGAGCCGAAGGGAAACCGAGUCUUAACUGGGCGUUAAGUUGCAGGGUAUAGACCCGAAACCCGGUGAUCUAGCCAUGGGCAGGUUGAAGGUUGGGUAACACUAACUGGAGGACCGAACCGACUAAUGUUGAAAAAUUAGCGGAUGACUUGUGGCUGGGGGUGAAAGGCCAAUCAAACCGGGAGAUAGCUGGUUCUCCCCGAAAGCUAUUUAGGUAGCGCCUCGUGAAUUCAUCUCCGGGGGUAGAGCACUGUUUCGGCAAGGGGGUCAUCCCGACUUACCAACCCGAUGCAAACUGCGAAUACCGGAGAAUGUUAUCACGGGAGACACACGGCGGGUGCUAACGUCCGUCGUGAAGAGGGAAACAACCCAGACCGCCAGCUAAGGUCCCAAAGUCAUGGUUAAGUGGGAAACGAUGUGGGAAGGCCCAGACAGCCAGGAUGUUGGCUUAGAAGCAGCCAUCAUUUAAAGAAAGCGUAAUAGCUCACUGGUCGAGUCGGCCUGCGCGGAAGAUGUAACGGGGCUAAACCAUGCACCGAAGCUGCGGCAGCGACACUAUGUGUUGUUGGGUAGGGGAGCGUUCUGUAAGCCUGUGAAGGUGUGCUGUGAGGCAUGCUGGAGGUAUCAGAAGUGCGAAUGCUGACAUAAGUAACGAUAAAGCGGGUGAAAAGCCCGCUCGCCGGAAGACCAAGGGUUCCUGUCCAACGUUAAUCGGGGCAGGGUGAGUCGACCCCUAAGGCGAGGCCGAAAGGCGUAGUCGAUGGGAAACAGGUUAAUAUUCCUGUACUUGGUGUUACUGCGAAGGGGGGACGGAGAAGGCUAUGUUGGCCGGGCGACGGUUGUCCCGGUUUAAGCGUGUAGGCUGGUUUUCCAGGCAAAUCCGGAAAAUCAAGGCUGAGGCGUGAUGACGAGGCACUACGGUGCUGAAGCAACAAAUGCCCUGCUUCCAGGAAAAGCCUCUAAGCAUCAGGUAACAUCAAAUCGUACCCCAAACCGACACAGGUGGUCAGGUAGAGAAUACCAAGGCGCUUGAGAGAACUCGGGUGAAGGAACUAGGCAAAAUGGUGCCGUAACUUCGGGAGAAGGCACGCUGAUAUGUAGGUGAAGUCCCUCGCGGAUGGAGCUGAAAUCAGUCGAAGAUACCAGCUGGCUGCAACUGUUUAUUAAAAACACAGCACUGUGCAAACACGAAAGUGGACGUAUACGGUGUGACGCCUGCCCGGUGCCGGAAGGUUAAUUGAUGGGGUUAGCCGCAA